AUUGAACGCUGGCGGCAGGCCUAACACAUGCAAGUCGAGCGAGCGGCGGACGGGUGAGUAAUGUAUGGGGACUGCCCGAUAGAGGGGGAUAACUACUGGAAACGGUAGCUAAUCCCGCAUACUAUCGGAUAACCCAUAUGGGAUUAGCUAGUAGGUGAGGUAAUGGCUCACCUAGGCGACGAUCCCUAGCUGGUCUGAGAGGAUGAUCAGCCCAACGGGGACGAGGUCAGGGCCAAGACUCUGACGGGGGCAGAAGGGGGGAAUAUUGCACAAGGGGCGCAAGCCGAAUGCAGCCAGGCCGCGUGUAUGAAGAAGGCCCUAGGGUUGUAAAGUACUUUCAGUCGGAAGGCGUUACCGAAAGAAGAAGCACCGGCUAACUCCGGGCCAGCAGCCGCGGUAAUA
rnacentral:rRNA from 1 species